GAGCCACAGAAUGUAGGGGUCAGGUGACUUGUGAUGUCACACGGUGAGAACUCUAUAAAACCUACAACCUCCACACCAGGCACCUUACACCCAGCGCACCUGCACCUACUGCAGCACUUACAAAUUCUGCUAGGAGGACUGCACAUACGUACUCGAAUAAAGACCCUGACCCUACAGUAUCUCCUCUUCAAUCCAGCUGGAAAUUCUUCAUUGAAGAUCACUAAUUUUUUCAUUUUUUAAAGGAGGGGGAUGAAUUCUUUGUCCUCCUCUGCUUCUUUGUCAUCCCCCUCUUCCCUUCAGCUCUUCAUCCUUCUUGUGUGGGCCGGCCAGGUCGAACCCAGAGCCAGGCUGCCUGAACCGGACCAGCAGAUCCUCUAUGAUGAGCUCUUGACCUCACACGUCGCCUCUCUUCUCCUGGCCUCGCCCGAGGUCAGCGAGAGGUCAGCGCAAAGCCCCGCCCCCACACGGGAGGGUGGGCGAGGCGUAAGGCAGGGGCCCCUCUCAGUCUCCGCCUAUAGGCCAGCCUGGCCACGCCUACACCUCAGGUUCAUGGGACAGCAGACCAGGUUUAAGGGGAGAACCAGGAAGAGCUCAGAGGAGGGGCUGUCCCGAGCGGGGGGCGCACAGCACUGGAACCAGCAGAACCGCGAGACUACGGGGCCACUGACCACCUGGACACAGGCUGAGGAGAUUUAGGAUGAGGAGGAAACGACCCCAUGCAGACCUCACAGACGGGACGCUAUCAGCUAUAGCAGAAUGAGCUGUGAGAGACUACACCAGCGAGGGCCAGGCUUCACCGCUCACAGACCUUCCGUUUGCCGUUAAGCUCACCGAGAUGUGGUCCAUCCCAGCAGGAAACUGCACCAGUACAACGUGGUUUGAAUUUUAAAUCCCGCUAACAGACAUGAAUGCACCGUGCAGCUCAUAGCAUGAGACUAACAGUGCAAUGAACCACAUUAGAAUGUGCUGUACACUCAUCUGCAACCACAAAUGUAAGGUCAGUGUAGUCUAAAAGUGCCUAUUGGGUAAUGUAGUCAAAAAGUGCUUAUUGGGUAAUGUAGUCUACUUAUAAGUGCUUAUAAGUGCUUAUUGAAAACUGUUUAUAUUUUUUGCUGCAAGUGUAAUUUGAUUUUGUCAAUAAAAUAUAAUUAUUAACACAAGGAAAAAAACCCAUGGAUGACUCAAUAAUGUAAUAACUUUUCAAUGACAAUGUAAUA